GACGAACCGUGCGAACGUUAUUCGGAAUCACUGGGCUUAAAGCGCGUGUAGGCGGGACGGCACGUCGGUCGCUGAAAGCCCCCGCUCAACCGGGGAACGGGCGCCGAUACGACCGUCCUGGAGGGACGUAGGGGGACCUGGAACUUCCGGUGGAGCGGUGAAAUGCGUUGAGAUCGGAAGGAACGCCCGUGGCGAAAGCGAGUUCUGGACAGUUACUGACGCUGAGGCACGAAGGCCAGGGGAGCAAACGGG
rnacentral:rRNA from 1 species